UACGUAGGGUGCGAGCGUUGUCCGGAAUUACUGGGCGUAAAGAGCUCGUAGGUGGUUUGUCGCGUUGUCCGUGAAAACUCACAGCUCAACUGUGGGCGUGCGGGCGAUACGGGCAGACUGGAGUACUGCAGGGGAGACUGGAAUUCCUGGUGUAGCGGUGGAAUGCGCAGAUAUCAGGAGGAACACCGGUGGCGAAGGCGGCUCUCUGGGACGGUACUGACGCUGAGACGCGAAAGCGUGGGGAGCGAACAGG
rnacentral:rRNA from 1 species